rnacentral:lncRNA from 1 species
CAGAGGCCAUGGGCAAGGCAAAGCUAGAAGGACUUCUUGACCGGCCUUUUAUAGAAACUUUGUAGCUGCCCACCCUUGGGGUUCAAGGGAGCGGGAGAGAUGACUCUCAAAUAUGAGGAAUUUGAUCAGGUUGAUGAGAUUUCAUUGAUGUCAACUAUACGACUGUGUCCUGUCAUAAGAUCUGUUUGCCUCCAAGACAAUGAAAAACAGCCGUUGUAAUCCUUUCUCUUGCUUAAGCAGGAAGUCACCACUCAACGGAUUUUAAAAAGCCUGAG